GAUGAAGAACGCAGCAAAAUGCGAUAAGUAAUGUGAAUUGCAGAAUUCAGUGAAUCAUCGAAUCUUUGAACGCACAUUGCGCCCCUUGGUAUUCCGAGGGGCAUGCCUGUUCGAGCGUCAUUAUCACCCCUCAAGCUUUGCUUGGUGUUGGGGCCUGCUGUAAUAGGCAGCCCUUAAAAUCAGUGGCGGUGCUUCAAGGCUCUAAGCGUAGUAAUUCUCCUCGCUAUAGUGUCUAGUGGUUGCCAGCCAGAACCCCCCAAUUUUCAUGAUUGACCUCGGAUCAGGUAGGGAUACCCGCUGAACUUAAGCAUAUCAAUAAGCGGAGGA
rnacentral:misc_RNA from 1 species